UAUUUGUUUAUUCUUUCUGUAACGUUUUGUAAUCGAGUCAAUUUCACUGGAGUACCAAAUAUACAUGGUAUGUGUGUAUGUUUUUUUAAUAAUUAGUUAUAAAUUAAUUAAAUAAUCAUAAACUUCCAAACAAAAUCAAAAUUACACAAAACAUUUAACUGAUUUAAUUAUUUAAUCUGUCACACAUCGAUCAAUAUAACUGUAUAUAAUAUACUGUCCCUCUGAAGUGAGGUAUUGGAAAACAUGAACUGGAAAUAAAAAUUGGAGCAUCAACCUCAAUUUAGUCAGAACUACUACGAUUCAUGAGCAUUAAGCAAAUAUAAAAUUAAUAUAAGACUUAUCGUGACCCAUCGGUUGAAGACCACUGCUAUAUCACCUUCAACCCAACGAAACAGGGAAGCACUUCACCAAUUAUCUGUGAAACUUUUCACGUGGCUCAUAAGAUACC